rnacentral:rRNA from 1 species
UACAGGGGGUGCAAACGUUGCUCGGAAUCAUUGGGCGUAAAGCGCACGUAGGCGGCCAGGUAGGUCCGCUGUGAAAACUCGAGGCUCAACCUCGAGAUGUCGGCGGAAACCAUCUGGCUAGAGUCCGGAAGAGGAGAGUGGAAUUCCUGGUGUAGCGGUGAAAUGCGCAGAUAUCAGGAAGAACACCCGUGGCGAAGGCGGCUCUCUGGGACGGUACUGACGCUGAGACGCGAAAGCGUGGGGAGCGAACAGG